rnacentral:rRNA from 1 species
ACGCUGGCUACAGGCUUAACACAUGCAAGUCGAGGGGAAAUGACGGGGAAGCUUGCUUCCCCGGGCGUCGACCGGCGCACGGGUGAGUAACGCGUAUCCAACCUGCCUCUGACUGAGGGAUAACCCGUCGAAAGUCGGCCUAAUACCUCAUGGCAUCGUCUGCGGGCAUCCAACGACGAUUAAAGAUUUCAUCGGUCAGGGAUGGGGAUGCGUCUGAUUAGCUUGUUGGCGGGGUAACGGCCCACCAAGGCGACGAUCAGUAGGGGUUCUGAGAGGAAGGUCCCCCACAUUGGAACUGAGACACGGUCCAAACUCCUACGGGAGGCAGCAGUGAGGAAUAUUGGUCAAUGGGCGAAAGCCUGAACCAGCCAAGUAGCGUGCAGGAUGACGGCCCUAUGGGUUGUAAACUGCUUUUAUGCGGGGAUAAAGUGAGGGACGUGUCCAUCAUUGCAGGUACCGCAUGAAUAAGGACCGGCUAAUUCCGUGCCAGCAGCCGCGGUAAUACGGAAGGUCCGGGCGUUAUCCGGAUUUAUUGGGUUUAAAGGGAGCGUAGGCCGUGGAUUAAGCGUGUUGUGAAAUGCAGGUGCUCAACGUCUGCACUGCAGCGCGAACUGGUCCACUUGAGUGUGCGCAACGCAGGCGGAAUUCGUCGUGUAGCGGUGAAAUGCUUAGAUAUGACGAAGAACUCCGAUUGCGAAGGCAGCUUGCGGGAGCACAACUGACGCUGAAGCUCGAAAGUGCGGGUAUCGAACAGGAUUAGAUACCCUGGUAGUCCGCACGGUAAACGAUGGAUGCCCGUUGUCAGGCUGUUUCAGCCUGGUGACCAAGCGAAAGCAUUAAGCAUCCCACCUGGGGAGUACGCCGGCAACGGUGAAACUCAAGGAAUUGACGGGGGCCCGCACAAGCGGAG